ensembl:snoRNA SNORA71 Small nucleolar RNA SNORA71
ACCUGUAUCGAAAGUGACUGUGACGUGUGUGUCGUCAGGUCAUUGAUACUACAGGAACAUCAAGCUGAGAGCUUUUUCCCGUGUUUGAAGGAGUGAAGUGCCUUUACAACCCUGCAGCUCUCAAACA